GGGGGACCAACGUUGAAAGAACUGAAACUAAUAAUAAUUUGAAGAACAACUAAUGAAAGAGACAGUUGCAUGGUAAAUAAGCAUCCAAAUCUGUCUGUAAACUCUGCAGGUAUCUUGACUGCCGGGUCCUCCUGCAAGGAGAAUGAGAUGGAACUUGAGGGAGAACGGCCAAGAGUCUGAACUCCAGGAGCUACCCAGGACUUGCUUGAAAACAUCACUGGGGGUUAUAAGAAGUACUUCGACUUGCAGAAAAGACAACAGUAUAUCCAAAUACUGCCAAAUGCCUGGGAGCAACUGAAGAAAUCAGAACUGAAUCUCCUGAUGCAAAUACCAAUGGAGGGAGAAGACCAGAGUGACACCAGGAAGGGGACCCAGGGCGAGUUGUGGGAUGCUAAUAUAAUGUUUCUUCAUUUUGG
rnacentral:lncRNA from 1 species